GCGUAACAAAACUGGCUGAUACUGGAUCUGUCCUUUAAAAUAUUACCAUAAAAUUGGUAUUUUGAUCCUGAAUUUCCUUUAAUGUGUUUAAGGUACAGUUUUAUGAACUAGCUGACAGUGUGGUAAUGGGAAGUGUCCAAUAAUCAUUAUGUUAUGGGAAGUGUCCAAUAAUCAUUAUGUGAUUAUUGCUCAUUUUGAAAGCAAUGAAAUGGUGUAAUCAAUAAAACUGUAUCCUCAUUUAGCUUACAGAGGUGAUGUACUGGUAAGCUUAUAGUUUAAUUUCUCUUCAGAAUGAGGAUGAAGAAAGUAGAAAUAACAAUGCUGUAUGGAAAAUGGCUAAACUUGAAAUAAAGUCAUGUUUACCAGGAAUACCCAGAAUUCAUCUGAGUUGAAGCCACUGCCAUCAUCCUUCUUCUCUGAUCCAAGGGUAAUGAAGAAGGAAGAGUUAUUAUUGCAAAGAAGAUAAACAAACAACACUGGAAAAAACCUUUCUUCAGGGGAAGAACUUCUGAACUGAUUUGUUGUUUGUGCACUUGUUUGUUUCACACAACAUCGCAUGAAUAAAAUUAGCAGUGGAAAAGCAGCUUGUAAUAUGUCCUGAUGUUACAAGGGUCAUGCCAGGGUUCCCA
rnacentral:lncRNA from 10 species